GACGAACGCUGGCGGCGUGCUUAACACAUGCAAGUCGAACGGAAAGGCCCUGCUUUUGUGGGGUGCUCGAGUGGCGAACGGGUGAGUAACACGUGAGUAACCUGCCCUUGACUUUGGGAUAACUUCAGGAAACUGGGGCUAAUACCGGAUAGGAGCUCCUGCUGCAUGGUGGGGGUUGGAAAGUUUCGGCGGUUGGGGAUGGACUCGCGGCUUAUCAGCUUGUUGGUGGGGUAGUGGCUUACCAAGGCUUUGACGGGUAGCCGGCCUGAGAGGGUGACCGGCGACAUGGGGACUGAGGUAAGGCACAGGCUGCUACGGGAGGCAGCGGGGGGGAAGGGUGCACAAUGGGAGGAAGAAGGAUGCGGAAGCGGGGCGGGCGGGAUGACGGGAGGCGGGGAGUAAACAGCUUUAGCCUGUGACGAAGCGUGAGUGAGGGGAAUGGGUAAAGAAGCACGGGCUAGCUAGGUG
rnacentral:rRNA from 1 species